rnacentral:rRNA from 1 species
AGAGUUUGAUCAUGGCUCAGAACGAACGCUGGCGGCAGGCUUAACACAUGCAAGUCGAACGCACCUUCGGGUGAGUGGCAGACGGGUGAGUAACGCGUGGGAACGUGCCCUUCAGUUCGGAAUAACCCAGGGAAACUUGGGCUAAUACCGGAUACGUGCGAGAGCAGAAAGAUUUAUCGCUGAAGGAUCGGCCCGCGUCUGAUUAGCUAGUUGGUGGGGUAAUGGCCCACCAAGGCGACGAUCAGUAGCUGGUCUGAGAGGAUGAUCAGCCACAUUGGGACUGAGACACGGCCCAAACUCCUACGGGAGGCAGCAGUGGGGAAUAUUGGACAAUGGGCGCAAGCCUGAUCCAGCCAUGCCGCGUGAGUGAUGAAGGCCUUAGGGUUGUAAAGCUCUUUCGUCCGGGACGAUAAUGACGGUACCGGAAGAAGAAGCCCCGGCUAACUUCGUGCCAGCAGCCGCGGUAAUACGAAGGGGGCUAGCGUUGUUCGGAAUCACUGGGCGUAAAGGGCGCGUAGGCGGCUUGAUAAGUCGGGGGUGAAAGCCUGUGGCUCAACCACAGAAUUGCCUUCGAUACUGUCUGGCUUGAGACCGGAAGAGGUAAGUGGAACUGCGAGUGUAGAGGUGAAAUUCGUAGAUAUUCGCAAGAACACCAGUGGCGAAGGCGGCUUACUGGUCCGGUUCUGACGCUGAGGCGCGAAAGCGUGGGGAGCAAACAGGAUUAGAUACCCUAGUAGUCC